GGAUGAAAGUGGCGGACGGGUGAGUAACGCGUGGGAACCUGCCCAGUGGUAGGGGAUAACCGCGGGAAACUGCGGCUAAUACCCUAUGAGCCCAUGGCUUUUGCUGUGGGGAAAGAUUUAUUGCCAUUGGAGGGGCCCGCGUCGGAUUAGGUAGUUGGUGGGGUAACGGCCUACCAAGCCUUCGAUCCGUAGCUGGUCUGAGAGGAUGAUCAGCCACACUGGGACUGAGAUACGGCCCAGACUCCUACGGGAGGCAGCAGUGGGGAAUAUUGGACAAUGGGCGCAAGCCUGAUCCAGCAAUGCCGCAUGAGUGAAGAAGGCCUUAGGGUUGUAAAGCUCUUUCGGCGGGGACGAUGAUGACGGUACCCGCAGAAGAAGCCCCGGCUAACUACGUGCCAGCAGCCGCGGUAAUACGUAGGGGGCAAGCGUUGUCCGGAAUCAUUGGGCGUAAAGCGCGUGUAGGCGGCUUGGUAAGUCCGCUCUGAAAGCCCGGGGCUCAACCCCGGGAGGCGGGUGGAUACUGCUGAGCUCGAGUCCGGAAGAGGCGAGUGGAAUUCCUGGUGUAGCGGUGAAAUGCGCAGAUAUCAGGAGGAACACCAAUGGCGAAGGCAGCUCGCUGGGACGGUACUGACGCUGAGACGCGAAAGCGUGGGGAGCAAACAGGAUUAGAUACCCUGGUAGUCCACGCCGUAAACGAUGGACACUAGGUGUGGGAGGUGUCGACUCCUUCCGUGCCGAAGCUAACGCAUUAAGUGUCCCGCCUGGGGAGUACGGCCGCAAGGCUAAAACUCAAAUGAAUUGACGGGG
rnacentral:rRNA from 1 species